rnacentral:ncRNA from 2 species
AGUGUCAUGCGCGCUGGUGGUUCGUGACGGCCGGUUCGGUCGGCGCGAGGCAAGAGGGAACCCGGUGUGAAUCCGGGACUGGCCCGCAGCGGUAAGUGGGAACGACAGCCGUCAUCAAGCACUGGGCACGGUGUGCCUGGGAAGCGACGGCCAGUAGGUCUGCCGAGUCCGGCAGGUGCCCGCGAGUCCGAAGACCUGCCACCAGCCCGCGCCCUCG